GACGAACGCUGGCGGCGUGCCUAAUACAUGCCAGUCGAACGCUUCUUUCCUCCCGAGUGCUUGCACUCAAUUGGAAAGCGGGGUGGCGGACGGGUGAGUAACACGUGGGUAACCUACCCAUUAGAGGGGGAUAACACUUGGAAACAGGUGAUAAUACCGCAUAACAGUUUAUGCCGCAUGGCAUAAGAGUGAAAGGCGCUUUCGGGUGUCGUUGAUGGACGGACCCGCGGUGCAUUAGCUAGUUGGGGAGGUAACGGCUCACCAAGGCCACGAUGCAUAGCCGACAUGAGAGGGUGAUCGGCCACACUGGGACUGAGACACGGCCCAGACUCCUACGGGAGGCAGCAGUAGGGAAUCUUCGGCAAUGGGCGAAAGUCUGACCGAGCAACGCCGCGUGAGUGAAGAAGGUUUUCGGAUCGUAAAACUCUGUUGUUAGGGAAGAACAAAGACGUUAGUAACUGAACGUCCCCUGACGGUAUCUAACCAGAAAGCCACGGCUAACUACGUG
rnacentral:rRNA from 1 species